rnacentral:lncRNA from 1 species
CUCUUUAAGAUAAUGAUUUGAUUCAGGCGAAAGAUGUAGCAUUAGCCGUAAGCUUUCCACUCUAUUUCUAGAUUGCUACUACUUGUUUCGAGUAUCUGGAGCACGAAAUAGAUCAAAUAGAUCAUAAAGUAUUUGAACUAUGAUUCAUACUUAAUACUCAGACCUCGUAGCCAGACUUCUUUCCGUUCCAUCUUAGAAACUUUAAUAAAUCAAAAACAAAAUUCUGCUUUUAAACUCUUAUUUGGAUCAAAGGACUAAAGGCUUCUUUGUAUUUUAGAUUUUUAAUCAUUACAGAUAUUUUUUUGUUUUUUGAUUGAAUAAGUGA